rnacentral:rRNA from 1 species
GACGAAGGAUGCAAGCGUUAUCCGGAUUCAUUGGGUUUAAAGGGCGCGUAGGUGGCCUUAUAAGUCAGUGGUGAAAUCUCGAGGCUUAACCUCGAAAUUGCCAUUGAUACUGUAGGGCUUGAGUAUAGUUGCCGUCGGCGGAAUAUGACAUGUAGUGGUGAAAUACAUAGAGAUGUCAUAGAACACCGAUUGCGAAGGCAGCUGACGAAACUAUAACUGACACUGAGGCUCGAAAGUGCGGGGAUCAAACAGG